UACGUAGGGACCGAGCGUUGUCCGGAAUCAUUGGGCGUAACGAGCGUGUAGGCGGCCAACUAAGUCCUGCGUGAAAUCUCGGGGCUCAACCCCGAGCGGUCGUGGGAAGCUGGUUGGCUAGAGUGCGGGAGAGGAGAGUGGAAUUCCUGGUGUAGCGGUGAAAUGCGCAGAUAUCAGGAAGAACACCCGUGGCGAAGGCGGCAUCCCGGACCGGCAUUGACGCUGAGGCGCGAAAGCUAGGGGAGCAAACGGG
rnacentral:rRNA from 1 species